rnacentral:rRNA from 1 species
AUUGAACGCUGGCGGCAUGCUUUACACAUGCAAGUCGAACGGUAACAGGCCGCAAGGUGCUGACGAGUGGCGAACGGGUGAGUAAUGCAUCGGAACGUGCCCAGUCGUGGGGGAUAACGCAGCGAAAGCUGCGCUGAUACCGCAUACGAUCUAUGGAUGAAAGCGGGGGACCGAAAGGCCUCGCGCGAUUGAAGCGGCCGAUGUCAGAUUAGGUAGUUGGUGGGGUAAAGGCUCACCAAGCCAACGAUCUGUAGCUGGUCUGAGAGGACGACCAGCCACACUGGGACUGAGACACGGCCCAGACUCCUACGGGAGGCAGCAGUGGGGAAUUUUGGACAAUGGGCGCAAGCCUGAUCCAGCAAUGCCGCGUGCAGGAAGAAGGCCUUCGGGUUGUAAACUGCUUUUGUACGGAACGAAAAGGCUCUGGUUAAUACCUGGGGCUCAUGACGGUACCGUAAGAAUAAGCACCGGCUAACUACGUGCCAGCAGCCGCCGUAACAC